rnacentral:rRNA from 1 species
GACGAACGCUGGCGGCGUGCUUAACACAUGCAAGUCGAACGGAAAGGCCCUGCUUUUGUGGGGUGCUCGAGUGGCGAACGGGUGAGUAACACGUGAGUAACCUGCCCUUGACUUUGGGAUAACUUCAGGAAACUGGGGCUAAUACCGGAUAGGAGCUCCUGCUGCAUGGUGGGGGUUGGAAAGUUUCGGCGGUUGGGGAUGGACUCGCGGCUUAUCAGCUUGUUGGUGGGGUAGUGGCUUACCAAGGCUUUGACGGGUAGCCGGCCUGAGAGGGUGACCGGCCACAUUGGGACUGAGAUACGGCCCAGACUCCUACGGGAGGCAGCAGUGGGGAAUAUUGCACAAUGGGCGGAAGACUGAUGCAGCAACGCCGAGUGCGGGAUGACGGCCUUCGGGUUGUAAACCGCUUUCGCCUGUGACGAAGAGUGAGUGACGGUAAUGGGUAAAGAAGCACCGGCUAACUACGUG